rnacentral:rRNA from 1 species
UACAGAGACUGCAAGCGUUAUUCGGAUUCACUGGGCGUAAAGGGUGCGUAGGCGGCGCGGUAAGUCGGGUGUGAAAUUUCGGAGCUUAACUCCGAAACUGCAUUCGAUACUGCCGUGCUUGAGGACUGGAGAGGAGACUGGAAUUUACGGUGUAGCAGUGAAAUGCGUAGAGAUCGUAAGGAAGACCAGUGGCGAAGGCGGGUCUCUGGACAGUUCCUGACGCUGAGGCACGAAGGCCAGGGGAGCAAACGAG